GGGGGGUGGAUCGCAACUGAUCAUACGGGCUCUAAACCCGUACAGCCGGGUGGGACUCCCGGACUCCCCGCCA
rnacentral:tRNA from 1 species